rnacentral:rRNA from 1 species
UACGAAGGGUACUAGCGUUGUUCGGAAUCACUGGGCGUAAAGCGCACGUAGGCGGAUUCGUAAGUCAGGGGUGAAAUCCCCGAGCUCAACUCGGGAACUGCGUCCGAUACUGGCGGGCUUGAAUCCGGGAGAGGGAUGCGGAAUUCCAGGUGUAGCGGUGAAAUGCGUAGAUAUCUGGAGGAACACCGGUGGCGAAGGCGGCAUCCUGGACCGGCAUUGACGCUGAGGCGCGAAAGCUAGGGGAGCAAACGGG